AUUUUGACUUGCUUGAACAUUUCUUUAUUAGCUUGUUGGUGUUGGUUUUGCUUGUCAGCUACACUAUUCAUUUCUGGAGUAACACUUCAUACUAAGGCAGUUGGUGCUUCUUGACUGAACAGGCCAGUUGUAAUUUCUCUGCACUCUACAGUGAUGUCAGUUUUCUUCAACUCAAGAAGGGCAGUUUGCACGAGUUGUUUCCAUAACUUGACUUCUGAGAAUAAUACCACAAUGAACAUGGGAAUACAGACAUCUUUUUUACAUUUGGACUUCAAUUACAUUGGAUACACAUACAGAAGUGGGAUUGCUGGCACAUACGUCUCACCAUCAUCUGUUACAUUUGGACCUUUUAAAUAACAGCCAUUCUGACUGAGUAUGUUGAUGCUCAGGCCUGAUUACACCAGAAGAUCUAAUGAAGCAUUUACAGGCUUUCACCUAUGCAUGGAAUCACCAUAAAUGCAACAGCUACAAAUGCAGCCUGAGAGAGGAGCACUGUAUUGACAAAUCAAAUAUGUGGGCAGCAUUACCACAACUGAUGCAGUUUUCAAAAAUAGCAGACAACUUGAUAAAAUUCUAAACCAAACAAUGCACAGCCUUCUUUAAAUUUAUACAGUAGUGAUUCCAAAAUAAAAACCUAGUGUAUUAGAACCUUGCAAAGAAGUUUUGUUUAUAUCAAAAACAGAAGUGGUCUCUGUUAUCAGAUGAUUGUAAAUAUGAUUGUAUUAGGGUUCUCCAGAGUGACAGAACUAAUAGGAUAUAUGUUUACAUAAAAGGGAGUUUAGUAGUGAGAAUGGGCUCACACGAUCACAAGGCGAAGUCCCAGGAUACGCCGUCUGCAAGCUGGGGAAGAAGCCAGUAGUGGCUCAAUCUGAGUCCCAAAGCCUUAAAAGCAGGGAAGCCAACAAUGCAGCCUUCAGUAUGUGGCUGAAGGCCUGAGAGCACCUGGAAACCACUGGUGUGAGUCCAAGAAUCCAAAGGCUGAAGAACCUGGAGUCUGAAAAUACGUACACUUGAAAAUAUGUAAACCUCCUUUGUGAAAAGCAUCCAGCACAGGAGAAAAAUGAAAGCUAGAAGACCUAGUAAGCCACGUUAUCUCACUUUCUUCCAUCUGCUUUGUUUUUGCUGCACUGGAAGCUGAUUGGAUGGUGCCCACCCACACGGAACGUGGGUCUUGCUCUCCCAGUCCACUGACUCAAAUGUCAAUCUCCUCUGACACACCCGGAAACGAUACUUUACCAGGUCUCUAGGCAUCCUUCAAUGCAAUCAAGUAGACACCUAAUAUUAACCAUCACAACAGUUUUCACUUUUACGAAUGCCAAGUACAAUAAUCAAAAGUUGCGAGGAUGUGGGAUGGUUAUGUAUAGUGCAGGACUGUCCUGCUCUGUCCAUCUCAAUGCCAGUCAUAGUGCACCCCAAUCAUUAUGACAACCAAAAUUUUCCUGAAAAUUUCCAAAACUCUAGGUGGCAGAACUCCGCUCUAAAUAAAUCCACUCAGGAUUUGGAUUCUGCUCUGGUGUAAAAUGCAUGUUUCUUAGAUUCCUAUGAAUACAGUUAACCACAGAAGAUGGUUAUAAUUAAAGAUCUUGUAUUCUAACCUUCACAGAGUCUAACUUAGUAGGACUCAAGUGGGGUUUAAAAAUCUCUGCUUUUUUAACAAGAGUUGAAGAUGAAUCUGAUGCAGAUCCUUUGUGGAGAUACUUUGAGAAAACACUUGAAAAUAUGUAAACCUCCUUUGUGAAAAGUAGAAACUUCCAUGGGAGUAUUAGUUAAAUACGUCAUGCAUUUGGCAAACGACAGUGGUCUUCAUUUUCUCCUUAUUUAUCUUACAGUCUUACAAUCUUUAAUUUGUCUUUAAGUUAUUCAUCAAAUUCUGUGAAAUGGUCUCCUAAUGAAGGUCUUUUCAUUACUUGUCAAGUCAAAAGAAUGAAGCACAGUGAUGCUAUUUUUUUAAAACUCACAAUCUGGCAGAUUUAUUUACUGCCUAUCACGUACAAUUGUUUUGAAUUAAUUUUGUUAUGAUCCUGACAACUCAAAAAGAUUUAUCAAAAGGUUUUACACCUGGUACAGGAUAUAGUGAUAUUUAAAUAAAUGACAAAUUUAUAAUUGACAAAUAUAUUUCAUAUUGUCGUUUUCUUCUUGCACACCAUGAAUUAAAAAGUAGACAAACUUCAUAGGGAACCUUCCGCAAAGAAAAAAUAUGGAUUAUGACAAGUGUAAAGACUUGAGGAAGGCUGAUAAGAAUCCAUGCUUAUGAGCUUAAUGGUUUGCAUGACAAAGAGUUAAAAUAUCAGCUACUUUAAAGAAAUCUUACUAUAUAAAUAAUCUUAUUGAAUUGAUAUUUGUGACUGUAAAGUUAUUUAAAUCGGUAUCAUUAUAUCUUGUUUGGGAGGAGUAUAACACAUUUUGAGUAUCUUUGUGUGUUUUUGUUAAUUCUACAGAAAUUGGUAUCCAUUCUUUUUUAAGCCAUAUUCACCUAAAUGUAAAAUGUAUCAUUAAAUUUCAACUUCUAAGUCCACUUCUAGUUUCUUAUUACUGUAAGUCAGUUCAGGAAUGAACAGGAUUUGUUUCACUUUCGACAUGCAUUGUUGAAUUUGAGCGAGAUAAAUACAGGCUAUUUUAAAUACAUCUAAAAUAUAAUUACUUGUUGAAAUAAUUUUAUACAGAGAAUUAAUCAUCUAUUACUUUUCAAAUAUGCCAGAUUAGUUCUAUGAGACUCAAAAUAUGAAGGUCGUUAAUAUGUGGAAAUUUGCUACCGAUUUUGGAAGUUCAUUGAUUAUUUGCC
rnacentral:lncRNA from 1 species